AGCGAACGCUGGCGGCAGGCUUAACACAUGCAAGUCGAGCGGGCAUCUUCGGGUGUCAGCGGCGGACGGGUGAGUAACGCGUGGGAACGUGCCUUCUGGUUCGGAAUAACUCAGGGAAACUUGAGCUAAUACCGGAUACGCCCUUUUGGGGAAAGGUUUACUGCCGGAAGAUCGGCCCGCGUCUGAUUAGCUAGUUGGUGGGGUAACGGCCUACCAAGGCGACGAUCAGUAGCUGGUCUGAGAGGAUGAUCAGCCACACUGGGACUGAGACACGGCCCAGGCUCAUACGGGAGGCAGCAGUGGGGAAUAUUGGACAAUGGGGGCAACCCUGAUACAGCCAUGCCGCGUGAGUGAUGAAGGCCUUAGGGUUGUAAAGCUCUUUUAUCCGGGACGAUAAUGACGGUACCGGAGGAAUAAGCCCCGGCUAACUUCGUGCCAGCCGCCGCGGUAA
rnacentral:rRNA from 1 species